rnacentral:tRNA from 1 species
GGUUCCUUAGCCAAGUGGUAAGGCAAUUGACUGCAACUCAAUGAGCAUCGGUUCAACUCCGAUAGGAACCUCCA